rnacentral:lncRNA from 1 species
GACGAACGGGCAGGGAGAAAACUUGGUGGAGCAGCUUCUGCUGUGAGCUGGCUUCGAUCGGUUGCUGCUUGACGAGUGGACAACUUGCGGUCAACGAUGGAGCGGUAUUUAACGAGCCUUCGAUGGCCAGAGUUGCUGCAGGGAAAGACUUCAAUCGUGGGCUGAGUGGUGUCGGGGGAAGAGAGAGGGAGCUCGGUGGAUGACAAAGGAGAUGCAACGGCUGCUCGGUGGGGGAAGACACACGUGAGUGGAGAUGCAGACGUUGAAUACUUGGGUCAACAAAACUGCAGAGGAGAAUUCAGAGGGGGUGUGGGCGUGUGUGAGUGGGAGAGUUUUCGGUGGAGGGGAUGAGCGGCUUCGGUGGCGUCGAAUCCAAG